rnacentral:misc_RNA from 1 species
UUUCCGUAGGUGAACCUGCGGAAGGAUCAUUAUCGAAUUUCGAGGGGAAGGAAGGUGAGGAGUGGAGGCUGUCGCUGGCUUUCCCGCCUGGGAAGCAUGUGCACGCCUUGCUUUUCGUUGACCUUUCUCUUACUCUCACACCUGUGCACCCAUUGUAGGUCCUCGAAAGAGGAUCUAUGUUUUUAUCAUCACACGCAUCGUAUGUCCAUAGAAUGUAACAUGAUCGUCGAUCGACCUCGCGGUCGGGUGGCGGUCUAAAUAAAUAAAUACAACUUUCAGCAACGGAUCUCUUGGCUCUC